ensembl:lncRNA
AAACUGAUGUCCACAAGUGUUAGGGCCUGGAGAAGAGGGAGGGCUGUGCUAAUCCAGGCCAGUAGUUUCACCUGAGAGGAUGGGAGGCUUUAACAGGGCUGGGAUUUGAAAAAAGCUGAGCUAUGGAGGAAACCCUGCAGAGAUGGAGCAAGGAGCUCAGGUCUGACUCUUGCUCACCUGCGGUGAAUGAACAGUGCAUAGAUACAGCUUGAUGCAUCCAUCAUACAGACAUGUGACAGCUAGCAGCCUCUGAAUUUCUAGUGGCAAAGCUGCAGCAAGCCAAAGGGAUCUCUACCUGAAGUGGAGCUUCAUCUUUCUGAAUACAGGCUAUGCCUUGAGCCACAGCAGUGUGUUCUGUUGCUUCUCUCCAGGCUCUCAGGCCUGUUCUUCAGUUUGCUGGCAGAAGGGAGAAGUGGUGGAAUGCCAUGACAGGGUGCUAACUUGUACUCUCAAGCACAAGAACUGGCCUAGCUGAAGCAUUUUGAUGCAUGAGAACAACAGGAAGCAACUCUUGCCAAGCAGCUGGCUGGCAUAAGGAGGAGCUCAUGCUGGUUGGAGAACUUGGGAACAAAUAUUUGUUGUGUUAGCUCUACUGAGCUGCACGGCUGGUCCCAUGUUGGCCCCACUGCUUCCAGUUCAACAGACUGGAUCAGAGCUGCUGGCCCAAACUGAAAACUGUGUUGGAGAUAGGAUAUGCCAAAACUGUCCCACAUGGCCUAGGUGGAGAAUUAAUGAUAACAUUGAUGGUAUUUGCUCGUGGUAACUUUGUGCAAUGGGUGUGAAGAGCAGUGUGAGGUUUGUCCUGGAUGCCUGUCACCAAGAACUGCUGGUGGGACCCACCACUGGAGUGCUUUAAUAGACACCAAUUAGAGAGAACCACCAGCAUCCAUGCUCCAAUGGCUUUAGCUCCCAAAUCCUGUAGUCUGGGACAAGCUUCUAUCCCAGGCUGUGAUGCAGAGGAAGCACAGGCAGAGCAAAGGGUCUGACCAUGAGACUUUAGUAACACACUGCUGCUUCCAUCUCCUGUGAUCUGUGCCUUCGGAGCUGGGAGCCUUGAAUGUAAACAUGAGUAUAUCAGCUGAUCCUUCUCAGAGCAUUGUUUGUUUGGGGUCAACUUAUCUCCUUUUCAAGAACAGGAUGUUUAAGGGAAAAAAAAAUAUAUAUAUAUAUAUAUAAAAAACAUAUCCAUAAUGGUCUUAAUUGUAAGUCAGCUUUUAUACUUUCAGAUUGGAACCUAAUUAAUCAUUGGCUGUACAGGGAACUGAUUCAUUGCUUUGUUGCUCUUUAUUCGUAUAAAUCUUUGAUUUAGUGAUUACUACUUUUUGAUUUAUCACUUACUACGCAAGUAAUCAAUAUUUGUGAUGAAUGGAUAAAUUUAAGUACCACCCACUUUGUAAUAUUAUUUUAUAUAGAAUAUGGUCUGUAAGAUGCAUAUUUCCAGUCUGAAUGAUUAGAAAUAGACAAUGAAAAUAUAAUGUGCAUCUCU